GUGCCAGCCGCCGCGGUAACACCGGCGGCCCGAGUGGUGGCCAUUAUUAUUGGGUCUAAAGGGUCCGUAGCCGGUUUGAUCAGUCUUCCGGGAAAUCUGACAGCUCAACUGUUAGGCUUCUGGGAGAUACUGUCAGACUUGGAACCGGGAGAGGUAAGAGGUACUACAGGGGUAGGAGUGAAAUCUUGUAAUCCCUGUGGGACCACCAGUGGCGAAGGCGUCUUACCAGAACGGGUUCGACGGUGAGGGA
rnacentral:rRNA from 1 species